CUUCACCCACAUGUUUCCAGCCAUAUCUGGAUAUUGAGUGCAAGGACCAGAAUAGCAUGCAGUUUUUCAGAUGUUGAUGCAUUAAUUACCAUUGUGUUCAGGAGGGGAACAUGGCAGGGGUAGUGUCUGCAGAAAAAGCCCUUGAAGUCUAGGACAACUGAAAGCCCAGAUGCUGCAGUUUCACAGGAACAUUUUGUAUGGCCUCUCCUAAAUGUUGACACUCAUCUUCCAACUUAUAUCAAAUCACAGUUGUGAGAGACCUUUGCCCUGUUCUGUCCCUUUGAGCGUUUCACAUAGUGAGUGUCUUGGCAUCAUCUGUAUUCU
rnacentral:lncRNA from 1 species